CUCCAGCAGUAUUCGAUGGAUCUCCUGGAAAGACGGUCUCUCUUUGGCGUUCCUGUGCCAGCAACUCAACAUGAGCUUGUAGACGGGGUCGGGACACAUGGGCGGCUGCGGCAAGUAGAUCUGGGAACAAGAGUGUACUCGGUUGCAGGAAGUCUGUCGCCUAUCCUAGGAGACUUGGGGCACAAGGCGGCGGACACUCUGGACGGGGUGCCAAUACAUCGCAGGGCACAAUCGCACAACGGACAAUUUGGAAAUGCCACCGUAGCACGUCUACCUGUCGCCUCUGGUCCCGGAAGAACUCGCCGGUGUUUUCAAUGACCUGCUCAUCUGAGAGCUGUGAGUACGGUUGCUCCUUGCAGAAUGUCAGCGUCUCCCAGAGAGUCACACCGAACGCCCAAACAUCACUGGCGGUAGUAAAUUUACCCUGUCGAGGACAUUUAAACACAGUUCAUUAGCUUUUAAUCUACACGAUAAUGACUUUGCGUGUGAGAGCAAACUGGUUUCUAUUUAGAAUCUCACCAGGAGGAUGCUCUCCCAGGACAUCCAGCGGAUGGGUAGCACAGCCCGGCCCUGGAUGCGAUAGUAAUCUCCGCUGUACAGGUUCCUGCUCAUGCCAAAGUCAGCGAUCUUAAUGGUAUAGUUCUUGCCCACCAGGCAGUUUCGGGUGGCGAGGUCUCGGUGCACAAAGUUCAGUGAUGAGAGGUACUUCAUGCCUGAAGCGAUCUGGGUGG